CUACCCACACCAGUCCUCAUUCCUCACUCGUGAAUCCAUCACCUGAAUCGCUACUUCACCCACUGCCUAUACCACCUGAAUCCGGCUCCUGAAUCGAGCUCUCUGUCUUAGUCCGCACUCCUCCUCACUGCACAAGAGAUUUUGAAUAGGGUCUCUGAAUUAGGGAUUUUGAAUCGAUGGGGUGGUGAAAAAUAUUUAUUUUUCUCAUGCUAAAAUGGCAAGCUGCUGUUCUGGGCUUCUUGGGCUUCGAAGCGUCUAGAGUUUUGGACCAAUUAUCGGCGGCAAUCAUCGUGAGCUGGUCCCGCUGAAUCUCCGACAGCGUUAUCGAGCUAGGAAGCGCCGAACCGGGCUUGGCCUUGACCGGGUACUCGAGCGGGUACUCGGCGACAUGGUGGCGCUUGAAAUCGUAUGGCCCUGUUCCGUACACCUUCGUCAUUGCCACUCGCUCACUGAUCUGGUUGUAUUGAGGAUUAACGCCAAAGGCAGAGUACCGAAUGAUUGGAGCGGUUGAAGUUCGUUCCAUGGCAGGAUUGGUUGUACAGUAAAAUUCUAGUAGUUGGAUCGAAGUUUCGCGAGGAUUGGAUGGACCCUUCGCCUCCUCCUCGAACUCUCUGUGAUUCUAUCGCUUGAUAAUUCACAUUCUUCAUUAUAAUGUUUGUAAGUAUAUAUCAACAAUAAAUUUUGCUUUCAGACCAGAACAUGUUCUUUACAUCAUAUAUCAAACCUACAUACGCAUCCAGGACACUAUUACAUAGGAAGUUUAGAGAAAUCCUAACCCUUCUCGGGUCAUUUCCAAAUAUUUAAAAUUGGGGAGAAGACAACUUAAUAUAUAAUAUUUUACUUGUCAAAUCAUUUUCGGAGGUGUCAGAUUUUUACCUUACCUUUUGGAUCUGAGAAUCACGUGGUAUUCGCACAAUUUUCAGCCUUUGAACUUGUGAUUUGAGCCUCUCUUCGAUAUCAUCGUCGUUAAUCGAGGAACUAAACGGGACGAAGGUUGAACUUUACCUCUGAAGUGUUAUUGGGCCAGGAUUUGGGACGGAGAUCUGACAUGCACACGUUAGGGAUGAGAGAGAAAUGGGGAUUAAACCCAGAAGGUGGGAUCAUCCGAAUAGCAAGGAAGAAGAAGAGGGGAAAGAGAGAUGAGGUUUUAAAUGGGGUGAAGAAGAGAACCAGCUGAGACAGAGAAGCAAACUUCCCUCCAUAGUUGAGGUUCAGGCCUGUGGGAGAGGAAUUGCAGAGAGAAACUCUGUUCAGCUAGUACCAUCUCUCUGCAACGGACACCCGUUCCCCAACUCUUGUUAGGAUGCAAUCGAAGCUUCGGGUUUUAGGAAGCAAACGAAAACGAAGUGCGUUUCCAUCCCCACCCUUUCUAUGAUGGUCGACACGUGCAUGGUUGAAGGGGUGGCAAUUAUGUAAAUAACUCAAAAUCCACGUCAAGACUGUUUAUUUGAACAGUGCAAUUGAAAACCUUACUUUAGACUAAAACAAUUGUAAAACUUCUUUUAUGACACAUUAGCUACAUUGAAGUUUUUUUUUUAUUUUAAAUUUAGCUACUUAUUACUACA